AUCCAAUAUAACCAAUUGGUGAGAGACUAAAAUAUAAGUACCUUGCACACAAACACAACCCAUGCGAAGGUUUUAAAGGAUUAACAUGGCGACAUGCUUUCAUUUUAUUUUGGGCAAGAGCACCUCAUCGUUACCCUAAUUUUCAAAUUUCGUAAUACAUUGUGAAUACAUUCCGAAUCCUGUCCAUGUGCGUUCUUGCGACUACAGAAUUGAAAUACACAUUCCCCUGCACAUCCUGACUAACACUUACUUUCUCUUAAUGUAUUGUGUUUAUGGACGCCCACUUCUAGAAAUUUCUUGUGAUUUUUUAUUUGUAAUGACUAUGGAUAAUCAUUCGGUUAUAUAAUUCCAAAUAGACUGGUGUUAUAAUCUAUGAUUAUGAAUGUGAACAAUACUAUAGCUACAUAACUGUGUGGAACGUAACACUACCUAUUAUCUAAUGAAGAGACUAUUCCCGGAGCGCUUCAGGUUUGUUUAAUUCUACGAGUGCUAUUUCGGCGCUACAUUCUGAUUGGUAUGCAAAUCGUUUCCAGACCAGGAAUUAUAAUGGGGUUAGGACUGUGCAAUAUGAAAGUACCCACAACUUUGGCCACAUGUAGAGGUAAAGGCAAUACGAUUUUAAUGCUGCAACAAUAAUGUACCACAUUGAAUCACAAAUCACAAAUUCCACGCCAUGUGAUUUUGGGUGAUCAUAUUCAAUAUGAAAUCAUUUCCAUUUCCGGUUAUAUUAGGAGCACAACAAAUGAAAGCAAUUGAAAUAUGAAAUUAAAAUUAAAAGACUGCUGGUAUUUCAGAUUUGGAAUAAAAUAAGAUGCGAAGACUUAGGUCCGUUUUUCUACAAUGUAUUGACUCAGAAGAACUCCAAGUUUAUAUUGCUUGGAAGAUGGAUUUGGGUGUUCAUUUAAAAAUCGUCUGUUAUUGAAAUUAGUUGAUGAUUUGCCAAUUUAGCUUGUGCUAAGUAUCCUGUGUUAAUUUUUAAGAAGAAAACUGUGUUAGAAGAGGACUUCUAGGUAUUCGUCAAUACUUGGUGGAAGCGUAAUUUGCAUAAAAUUCAUAUAACUUUUACAAUGGGGCUAUCAACUUAAGGAGAUCGUAUAAUUUACUGCUGUUAUUUUUACUAAGAAGUGCAAUUAAUAUUAUAGAUUGAAAGGUGUUUGAAUGUGGUUACAUGUUGCACAUUUUGGAUUAUGAGCA